rnacentral:tRNA from 1 species
GGUCAUGGCUCAGUGGUAGAGCAUUCACCUCACAUGUGCAAGCCCUGGGUUCGAUCCUCAGCACCA